rnacentral:rRNA from 1 species
CAGCCGCCGCGGUAAUACGUAGGGUGCAAGCGUUAAUCGGAAUUACUGGGCGUAAAGCGUGCGCAGGCGGCUUCUUAAGUCGGAUGUGAAAUCCCUGAGCUUAACUUAGGAAUUGCAUUCGAUACUGGGAAGCUAGAGUAUGGGAGAGGAUGGUAGAAUUCCAGGUGUAGCGGUGAAAUGCGUAGAGAUCUGGAGGAAUACCGAUGGCGAAGGCAGCCAUCUGGCCUAAUACUGACGCUGAGGUACGAAAGCAUGGGGAGCAAACAGGAUUAGAUACCCCUGUAGUCCCUGUCUCUUAUAA